rnacentral:lncRNA from 1 species
AUAACAGUUAGUUUCCACAUUAACAAAAAUAAACCGAAUAAUUAAAUUUGGACGUUACGAAUUUAUAUAGUUACAAAUUGUUGCUGAUAAUGAAUAAGGAUUUUCAUUCACAGUCAUUUGUUUCGAGCUUCUGUCAUAUGUCGUAUACUCCGUGUAUAUUAAUAUUAUACGCAUAUUAUACAACAUAUGACAGAAUCUCGAAACACAUGACAAUCGAUGAAAAGCCCUAUUGUCCAUUACCAUUUGUCCGGUUACAAACUGUCACAUUACGAGAUGCCAUGGAACCAUUUUUUAUGUAUGUCUAUGACAUUUGAACAGCUGCUUAAAUUAGCAAAUAUGCUGAUUUACUCAAUUUUUAAUAUAUAUUUGAGUUGAUAGGAUUACCUAAACUUAAUGUACAUUGCAAUGUACACCAGGUCUGAAAGGGUUAAGCUUUUUUUCUGUGAAAAGUAAAUUGAAAUCACCUUUGAGAUUGCAUACAUAAAAAUUUCUCUAAGUCAUUUGAUGCAGCGUAUGAUUUUAAACGGGUCUAGGACGUUUCAUCGCCGCCGUUUCGAUGCCGCCAGUUCGAUGCCGAUGCCGGCCGAUUCAUCGCCAGUCAAUUAAUCGCUAUCUGAUAUAUUUCCGAAUUUUCGACAGUUACAAUUAUUAGUUAUUUUUAGUAUUAAUUAGGAAUUCUAGGAAAUGCCAGAUAUGACGGCGAUUAAAUGGACUGGCGAUGAACCGGCGGCAUCGAAACGGCCGGCGAUGAACCGGCGGCAUCGAAACGUCCCAUUCCGAUUUUAAACAACAUACAAAAAGGCAAACAUAUUAAAAUGUAGACUACACAUAACUAACAAGAAAUAUGUAUGUUGGUGUUGUUAACGCAUGUGGUGAAUUUAAUUUCUGGACUGUAAUUUAGGUCUGCUAUUGGUACUUCCAUGCACUAACAUCCAAAUUUGAUAUCGAUAGAUAAAGAUAAAAUGAUGUUCCGCCAAACACACAACUGAUAUAAAAAAAACUGGGUACCAACCUUUAGUCUCCCUGUCUAUGAACCUGGGGCCCCAGAACUGCACUCAUUCUUGCAUCAAACCAGCCACUUUACGAUACUUUAUAAUAUCAUGCCGAUGAUUGAAAUUGUUUUUUUUUUUUGGUUACACGUGAACGGUGCGAUGUUACUUCUUCGCCGGUUUUAGAAUGUCUUUAGCUGUGUGUGUUUUUUUAAGCUUUAAAUUUAAAUAUUUAGCGGCAAAGUGUUGCGCUAACAAGCAUCAUAAAUAAGAUUUUACUUUUGUGGGUGUUUUUGACCAGCAUGUAACACAUGUUCAAAAACUUGUUUUAAAUCAGCUGGAAGGCUAAAUUUGUACUAUGUAAUAUUAUAAUAUAUUUAUAUACCGUAAAA